rnacentral:lncRNA from 1 species
UUAGACUGUAUUUUCUUUUUGGGAUUCCAAACCUUGAGCAUAGUCGUUUUGAAAGAUCCCAUGUUAAUGGUCUUAUCAGAAAGGAUUUUAGCCAAAAUGGUGAAUUCAUUUUCCAUGAUUGGGGAGCAAUCAUUUUCGUCAGUGAAGGCAAGAGUGGUGGUUUGGGAUAUUAGGUCAUUAAUGGAGUUGGGUGGUUCCAUUGAGUGCGGAGGGGGGGAA